AGCCUAGCUCUGCUCGCAAUAUCGUAGCCAAUGAGGUUUAUCCAAGGCAUGAUUACUGCUAAUUGAAAACUAAAAACAAUCUAA
rnacentral:snRNA from 1 species